rnacentral:lncRNA from 1 species
CAGGACUUUGGCUGAGAGCAACUAUUGGCAUGGCAAUGUGAAGAAGGAUCUUGUCUUGGAGCUGUAGCAAUAUUAAAUAGAGUGAGUGCAGGAACAAAGCCAGAGGUUUGUCUUUCUUUUUUUUGUUUUGUUAUGUUUUUUUUUCUUCCUGUUUUUUUUUUUUUUUUCUUUUUUUCUUCUUGCAGGAGCUGCAGUUCAAUUUCAUUUGGGAUGUUUCAUGGAAAGGCAAUGAAUAAAUGAUGAAUAAAUCAGAGAGAGCAAUGCAAACUGACCUAGGCUGGAGGAAAGAGGAACUGGAAAGGAAAUCUUUCCUAUUUUCUGAUGGGUCAAGGCCUCCUCACCAUCUGAAGUCCAUGCGCUGCUUUACUUUCCAAAUCUGGAUCCAGAGAAGCCAAAUUAAACGAUUCACUGCACACCUUGCUUUGUAUUUGGCAUCAGGAUGCAGCUGUACUGACUCUUUCCAACUGGUGAAAUGAAUGAUGAUGAUGUACUUCUCACAAAAAAGCAUCUAUCUUUUAAACUCCCACACCUUCCCUGAGCCUUCAGAAUGGUUACAAGUAAAUUUAAGGCCUUUAUCCUACCACCAGUUCAUGAAGACUGGCAGUAGUGUUUCUGUGGAGUCCACAGAGUGCCACCAGGCAUGUGUUAUGGGGUUAAAAUCUGAACUACUUUCUCAUCAGUCCAAUUUGCC